rnacentral:rRNA from 1 species
UAGUGAGUUUGAUCCUGGCUCAGGACGAACGCUGGCGGCGUGCUUAACACAUGCAAGUCGAGCGGAAAGGCCACUUCGGUGGUACUCGAGCGGCGAACGGGUGAGUAACACGUGAGUAAUCUGCCCUUGGCUUCGGGAUAGCCACCGGAAACGGUGAUUAAUACCGGAUAUGGCCACUUCGUGCAUGCGAUGGUGGUGGAAAGUUUUUCGGCCAGGGAUGUGCUCGCGGCCUAUCAGCUUGAUGGUGAGGUAAUGGUUCACCAUGGCUUCGACGGGUAGCCGGCCUGAGAGGGUGACCGGUCACACUGGGACUGAGACACGGCCCAGACUCUACGGGGAGCAGCAGUGGGGAAUAUUGGACAAUGGGCGAAGCCUGAUCCCAGCAACG